GCUAACGUAGCUUAAUAUAAAGCAUGGCGCUGAAGUUGCCAAGAUGGGCCCUAAUAAGCCCCGUACGCA
rnacentral:tRNA from 1 species